rnacentral:rRNA from 1 species
UGCGUAGGCGGGGAUGUAAGUCAGAUGUGAAAAAACCAAAGCUCAACUUUGGCAGUGCAUCUGAAACUGCAAUUCUAGAGGGAUAGCGGAGAAAACGGAAUUCCACGUGUAGCGGUGAAAUGCGUAGAUAUGUGGAAGAACACCUGUGGCGAAAGCGGUUUUCUAGCUUUCCCCUGACGCUGAGGCACGAAAGGCAGGGAGGCAAGCA